ACGGAGGGUGCGAGCGUUGUCCGGAUUUAUUGGGUUUAAAGGGUGCGUAGGCGGCCCGUUAAGUCAGCGGUGAAAUGCCCGGGCUCAACCCGGGAGCUGCCGUUGAUACUGUCGGGCUUGGAUGUCGGAGGGGCAGGCGGAAUUUGCGGUGUAGCGGUGAAAUGCAUAGAUACCGCAAGGAACCCCGGAGGCGAAGGCGGCCUGCUGGCCGACAAUCGACGCUGAUGCACGAAAGCGUGGGGAGCGAACAGG
rnacentral:rRNA from 1 species